AAAAAGAGAAACACAAACCCUUUUCAAUGCCAAAAUGUCAAGAGCUGCUUCUAGGGUUUUAGGAAUCCCAAAUUUCUAGGAGGGUUUAUCAAAACCCUCUUAUUCCUAAUUUUAUUCGCCUCCAUUUUCGCGAUGGAGGAAUUCGACGAUGAUGACUUCAGCGACCUUUAUGCUGACGUUGAGGUACAGGCGAGCUCAGCAAUCAGCGCUUUGCAUCGGUCGACAGAAUUGCCCCCACGGAGCGAUCGUAUUUCCGCAAAUGCCCCGCGAGGAGAGAAUAAGGCAGCUGAGGAGCGUGAUGCCGCACGUCAGGAGGCAAAGGAGGAGAAGGCCGGUGGCUGUGGUGAUUUGAGAAAUUUGCCUGUAGAGAAUGGUGAUAGAUGUGAAAGCGGGAGCACGAGCUGGAGUGAGAGUGAGAGUGAGAGAGAUAGCGAGGACCGAUUGGCUAGUGAUGGCUAUGAUGAAGUUGAGAGAAAAGUAGGUGAGAAUUAUGAACGUAAGAGAUAUGAAGAAAUAUCUGGAAAGGAGAAGACCGUCAAUGGUGGGGAUUACAGCUCCCAGUCCCAGAGAAAGAUUUUGCAGUAUAAUUCCUCGAAUUCUAAGACGAAGAGAGUUCAUGAAACGACACAACAAGUGCGCAGAACAUGCAGGAAAGGGGACUCUGAUGACAGAAAUCCUUUCUUUAGUAGUGAGGAUAACCAACCUAACUAUGGAAGGAAACACGGAGGACCAGAAAUUGCCUCAGAAAGGCAUACAGAAGCGAGCUAUCCUGUGCCCUUGGAUUUGGAUAAGCGUGGAAGUGUGCAGAUAUCCGACUCAGUGGAGGAUAGCCCUUGUGAAGUCUCUGAAUGUGAUUCAGAUGGGAUAUCCGAAACUUCUGAUGAUACAGAUAGAAGAAAAGCAAGUUGCAUAUCGAAUAAAGUGUCAUCAGCACGAGAACCAGAUGCAUUUAAAAGCAGUUGGAGUCAGCGUGGCCAAGGAUACCCUUCUUCUCCUAGUCGUGCUGCAUACGGUAGCAGAUAUUUUGAAAAGAGCCCUAAGCGUUUAAGGUACUCUUCAUCUAGCUUACAUUGUGAAUCACAAGAUCCAAUCACUCACAAAUAUCAUCCUCCCAAACACUCUGAAAGCCGUGGUGUCAGACGAGGUACCAGAGAUGGUGGAUAUUAUGAGAGACGGCAAGACAGCACACGGAAGCAUUCUAAUCAGCCCAAGAAAUCUAAUUAUAUGCCCUAUUUCAAAAACCGAGCCGAUGAGGAUGCUUCUUAUGCAACUGAUGCCAAGCAUCUCUAUAACAGACAUGUUAACCAACAUAGAGCAAUGGUAGAUCUCAAAAUUAAUGAGACUGAUGUUCCUUUCUGCAGCUACUCAGAAAGAAUGCUGACUUACUCAGGUGGACGUUUGCCUGAUCAUCAUAUGGGCCAGGCAUUCUUGAAAAACCAAUACUGGGACAAUCCAAAUAGUAGGUACAAAGCAGGUCCCCUUGAUGGUCACAAUAUUAGUGAAAGAAAAAAUUUUCUUGACAAGAGAAGUAGUCAGAUGGAUUAUGAAUCUUCGGAAUAUUAUAGAUAUCAUAAUCAAAGGAGACAUCAGUUUCAGGGUGAUAUCGAGGGGUAAGGAACUUAUCACUAAAGUACUCCUCUACAGUUGACCACAGAGGUACACAGUUGUUGUAUAAAGGAGAAGGUGAACGUCUCAGGCGGAGAACCAGACAAGACUGUCUGCCACCAGUACAUGAUUAUGAUGACAGAUAUGUGGAAGGAAGAAGAAUUCGCCCUAGUAGUGGCGGAGAUAGAGAUCAUCUUGAUUGUAGAUAUGAUCGGGAUGUAGCUCAUGAUAGAAGAGAAGUGGAGAGCUCUUCAAAGGGCAAUAGAAGACGUCAUAGCCCUUUGAAUAGUUCAGAAAAUUUCUGCUAUAUUGAGAAUGAGGUUAAUGACAGGAGGAACAUCAAACAUCAACCUUUUCCUUUUUAUCCGUCUGAAGAACCUUACGCUUCUGGCAGGGGGGAGUUUCUAGGAGCUUCUGGACCAAAAAUGGGGGUUGCUCAAAGAAACAUCAGGUGCUCACGGAGAGAAAUGCGCAUAGAGUGUGAUCAGUAUGAUACUGAUGUCGCCACUUUUGUCCCCAGAGAAAACCUCAGGUAUUGUUCUCCUGAGGAUUUUCAUGUCAAAAGAAGAGACUACCAACCAUCUUCAAACACCAAUUACACAAGAGAAAGCAUUCGAUAUGAGGAUCAUUUGUUGGGAGAAGACGCAAUCAACAUUCUGAAGUAUUCCUUCCGAAGGAAGAUGUAGAUAAGUCCAGGCAGCAGGACCGUAUUGUCUUCGGCUCUGAGGAGCGAUCCCAUAAAUCUAAAAGAAUUUUAAAGAAUGAUGAGGCUGAUGGUAAACCUGCAUCUUGUCGUAUUAUGGAACUUAGUGAAAGAGAAAUGAGGAGGCGGAACUCCAAUAUAUUGGGAGAAGAAGAGAACAGUAAUCAUUUUGACGGGUGUCAUAAAUCCACCAAACUUAAUAGUCAUGCUCAGAGGCAUCCGAGUCACCAAGAUUCAGUUGAUCGCUUGGUGGUUAAGGGCAGAAAGUGCACCUUGCAGUCCUCUAUAAGAAGAACCACAGAAGCCGGAGAAGAUACAUACUAUGGUAAGUGUGACCUCGUGGGAUCGACUGACAACAAGGAACCAAAUAAUUCUGAAGACACAGAUGAAUUCAAACCAGAGAAGACUGUUCCAACUGAUGAAGGAGAGAUAAAUGCUAGCCUUAGCGGCAGAAAUCAGCAAAGUAAGUUCUCCAAAAACCACCAGAACGAGUCUCUGAACACCGAGGAAGGCCAGAUCAUUACUGAAGAAAUUCAGAAUGAAGAUGAAUCACAGAUCAAUGUUUCUGGGCACCCGGAAACUACUUCAAAUGAUAACAGAGUGGUUGAGAAAUUGGAUGAUGAGAAGAUUAAGGAGAUUAUAAUGAAAAUGGAGAGGCGAAGGGAGCGUUUCAAGGAGCCCGUCACGACAAGCAGGGAUGGUGAGAAGGUUUGCAGGGACGGUGAGAAGACUUUCUCCCCGCUGCCAGAUUCGAAUGUUGAGACUGCUGAGGCUAGGCUAGAAAGACCAGCUAGAAAAAGGAGAUGGCUUGGAACUUAGAUCAGGCUUACUUCUAAUACAAAUUUUUGCUGCAGUAACUGAGUCGCAAUUUGAUUAUACUUCACAUAUAUAAUAAUCACUUCAUCAAAUGUUACUGCUUUUGCUGAUUGUCUUGGGAAUUAAGAGUGAGUUGUCUCCUUCAGUGGAAUAUAUAGUACUGCUAAUUUUACGCUGUCAACUCUUAUGUGCAAGAGUUUUGUAGUUAUAAUCUUUUUCUUUUUUUUGAGAAUGUAGUUAUAUUCAUGGCUUCUAACUUGUACUACUUACUCUUAAAAUCGGUAAGUAUUCAUGGCUUUUUUGAGAAUGUAGUUA